rfam:Takifugu rubripes genomic scaffold, scaffold_3784
AAAACGGCUCUUUUAAGAGCCACUCACUACAAUCUAAAAGCAUAGU